GUGAGGAAUAUUGCGCAAUGGAGGCAACUCUGACGCAGCCAUGCCGCGUGCAGGAAGAAGGCGCUACGCGUUGUAAACUGCUUUUAACCGGGAAGAAACCCCAGGACGUGUCCUGGGUUGACGGUACCGGAGGAAUAAGCACCGGCUAACUUCGUGCCAGCAGCCGCGGUAAUACGAAGGGUGCAAGCGUUAUCCGGAUUCAUUGGGGUUAAAGGGUGCGUAGGCGGAGCGUUAAGUCAGUGGUGAAAUCCUGCAGCUUAACUGUAGACUUGCCAUUGAUACUGGCGCUCUUGAGUGCGCUUGAAGUGGGCGGAAUGUGCCGUGUAGCGGUGAAAUGCUUAGAUAUGGCACAGAACACCAAUUGCGAAGGCAGCUCACUAAGGCGAUACUGACGCUGAGGCACGAAAGCGUGGGGAUCGAACAGGAUUAGAAACCCGUGUAGUCC
rnacentral:rRNA from 1 species